GAGACGAAAGACCUGUACUCUGAAAACUAUAAGACACUGAUGAAAGAAAUCAAAGAUGACACAAAUAGAUGGAAAGAUAUACCAUGCUCAUGGAUUGGAAGAGUUAUUACCAAAAUUACUAUACUACAUAAGACAAUAUACAGGUUCAAUGCAAUCCCUAUCAAAUUACCAAGGACAUUUUUCACAGAACUUGAACAAAAUAUUUUAAAGUUUGUGUGGAAGCACAAAAGACCCAGAAUUGCCUGUCCUUUCUAUCACUUACUAAGUGAGGGGUAUUGAAAUCUCAGAGUAUGACUGUGAACUUAUCUGCUUUUCUUUGUGGUUCUCUCAAUUUUUGUUUCAUGUUUUUUUAAAUGCUUACUUAUUUUUAAUCAUUUCACUUUUUGGCCACACCCAUGGCAUAAGGAACUUCCCAGGCUGGGGACUGAACCCACAACACAGCAGCAACCUGAGUCACUGCAGUGACAACACUGGAUCCUUAACCUACUUCUACACCAGGGAACUCCCUCUCCUCUCAUGUUCUCUCCUGUGAUAUCUAUCUGCUUUGCUUUCACCAAACUUUCAGCAUUAUCAGUUCAAUUCAAGGAGCCUGGUGGCCUCCACUUCAGUUCCUUCUCCCUGUGUCAUGGCCUGGAAAUUCUUUCAAGGCAGUGACCUGGGAUGUUAUUUAGGCUAAGCACAUGUGUUUCUAGAGAUCAUUGUCCUUCAUUGCCUGAAGUUCUUGUCUUGAAAAUCUUUUGUAGUGUAUUUGGUUUGUUUUGCUUUUGCUUGUUUCAGGUAUGAGGUAAAUCAGUACCUGUUACUCUGUCUUGGCUAGAAGCAGUUUGCAGGAGAAAGUGGUGGGCAUAUGCUGCAGAACUGUCUUCAUUGUUCUUCUUCCCCCUCUGCUCAGUGCUUCCUGCUCAGCUUUCAUCUCUCUGUGUAGCCAUCUCUUCCUUGAGAAAAUCUUUCCUGGACGUAAUCUACAUCAACUUCUGUUAUGUGAUCAUAGCAAUCUCUGUAUUAUAGUACCUAUCUGAAUUUAUCAUUAUUUGUCUUUAUCUUCUACUAGACUUUAAGCUAAACAAGAGUCAGGGAUCUUGUCUGUUUUAGCUGCAGAGCUUAAUAUCAUGCCUUCCAUAUUAUAGUUACUCAAUAUGUAUUUGUUCAAGGUAUGGAUGAGUGAAUGUCCAAAGUGCAUGGUCCUUUAUCUACAAAGAUUACUUGUAUAUUUUAUUUCUAUUUUUCUCUUCUUCUGAAUGCAGAUUCUGUUAGGUCAUUGAAAAUGUGGGAUUCAGUUCUUUCAGUGCAGCACUUCUUUUAUUUCUGAGAGCUCCUUUUGUAGACCACUGAUCUUACUUUCCAUUUCUUUAAUUGUUCUUGUAAAUAUAGCACUGAUGAUGGAGCAUGGUAAUGUGAGAAAAAAAGAAUGUAUACAUGUAUGUGUGACUGGGUCACCUUGCUGUACAGUAGAAAAUUGACAGAAUACUGUAAACCAGCCAUAAUGGAAAAAAAUAAAAAUCAUUAUAAACUUAAAAAAGUGAAAUUACAGAGUAUCAAAACAUGGAGUGGCAAUGAGAGCUCUGUAUAUUAAGGUACUGAGCACCUUGGUUUUAAUAUCUGAAGACAUAUUUGAACUUUUUAAUUUAUUUUCAUGAUGCAUAUAUAAAAGUUUUAUAAUUGCUAACUUACCUUCCAGCGUUUUACAGGGAAGAAAACAUCAUUAGUAUUGUGAAGUAUGGAAUUCUUAGAACAAAUACAAUGCACCUUAAAACAAGAAGAAACGAAGAAAUGCUAAUAUGUUGUAUGAAGAAAUUAGGAUGCAGUUAAGAGAAAAAAAGGAAUAUAAUGAAGUUUAAAUGAAACAGCAACUUGAACUCACUCUCAAAACACUAAACAUGGAAUUAAGGACUGUGAAAAAUAAUCAGAACCAGGAUGGAAUUGCCACAUUAAAAGUGGAAAUAGACACAAUAAAAAAAUCAGACCCAGGAAAAGGAAGAGAAAUAUUUCGAGGACUUUGAAAUUAUAAAAGAAAAGAAUGAUGAACUUCAAAAGACAAUAAACUAAAUAAACCAUUAAUAAAAAAUAAUUUUGCACUACAGUGGACAGCUUAAUAUUCUGACAGCUGAGAAUACAAUGCUAAGGUCUGAACUGGGGAAUGGAAAACAAAAUGAACAACUAGAAACAGAAAUUGAAUCAUACCAUUCUAGGCUAGCUACUGCCAUAUACGAUCAAGAGCAAAGUCAGACAUUAAAAAGAGACCUGGACCUUGCCUCCCAGAGAGCAAAAGAUAAGUGCUUAUGCUUACAGAACAAAAUGAAUUUGGAUGAAAGAUAACAAUGAGAUGCAUUCCCAGCAAUUGUCUAAAACUGAAAGUAAUAAAUUCAGUAGCCUAGAAAUGGAGCUGCAUCACAUAAGAGAUGCUCUCAGAGAAAAGUCUUUGGUGUUAGAACAUGUACAAAGAGACCUAAGCCAAGUUCAGUGUCAGAAAAAGGAAAUUUUACACGUGUACCAACAUGAACAAGGCAAAGUGAAGAAAUACAUGGGCAAGCCAGAGUCCUUGGAGGAGAGAUUAUCCCAACUAGAGAGUGAAAACCUGUUGCUGCCACAGCAGCUGGAUAACUUGCAAAACAAAGUCGACAGCAAAAAGAAAAUUGUAAUUAAUAUCCAGGAACAGUUUCAGGAUACUGUGAAAAAAGUUCAAACUAAAAAUGAAAUCAUUUAACACUGGAGGAAAGCAACAAGAAGUUAAUGAAUGGCUGUGACCAUCUAAAAGAGAAGAUGUAUCAGUAUGAAAAUGAGAAAACAGAGAAGCAGUUGUGAGACAACUUCAAUAAGAACUGACAGAUACCCUAAAAAAGCAGUCCAUGUCAGAGGAAUCACUGAAGGUCAUGUCACGUUAUUGUGCUAACUUAGAAGAUGAGGCAUGGGAUUUAAAGAAGAAAUUACGUCAAAUCAUAAGUCAAGUACUGCUAAAUUUGAAUCUGGAUCCUAUAGAGCUUCUCCAAGAUCUACUGACAAUCAACUUGUGAAAGCAUCCCAAUAAUAGGCAUCUCUGUGCUGCUGAAGAAAAUCAGGCACUUGCCCAAUGAGCCUACUAUUUUUAUUUGCAUCUUUAUUCUUCAGAUGAGGAAUUAAAAUCUCUUGCUAUAGAGGACAAGAUGGCGGAGGAGUAGGGGGACAUGCUCACCCUCUCCCACUAACACAACAAAAAAAGCACAUCUACAGAAUAAAUGACUCACACAGAACAGCAACCAAUCGCUG